UGAGUUGUACAGCACUUGCUUCGUGUUCUUGCUGUCUGGAUUGCAGUUCUCAGAUCGGAAACAGGGAACUUGAUUGGAAGUCAUUUCAGAUCAUCACUGUUUUAUCUUUCAAGUGUGGACUACCAAAAGAUUGAACUUGAUUGUCACACGACUGGACAGUAUUUUCCAGGCUCCUUUUCAGUGAUGUGUGGCCACUUGCCUUAAAUCCAGCUAAUUGAAUAUGAAGUAAUCAUCUUUCCUUCCUGGAAUAGACAAUAAAUACUCUCCAAUGCCCAGGUUUUGCUCUUCCCAUCAGUUGACUGAAUGGAGAGGAAUUCAAGGACUUAGAGGAAGU